rnacentral:rRNA from 1 species
UAAUACGUAGGGUGCGAGCGUUGUCCGGAAUUACUGGGCGUAAAGAGCUCGUAGGCGGUUUGUCGCGUCGUCUGUGAAAACUCGGAGCUUAACUCCGGGCGUGCAGGCGAUACGGGCAGACUUGAGUACUACAGGGGAGACUGGAAUUCCUGGUGUAGCGGUGAAAUGCGCAGAUAUCAGGAGGAACACCGGUGGCGAAGGCGGGUCUCUGGGUAGUAACUGACGCUGAGGAGCGAAAGCAUGGGUAGCGAACAGG